ACAGGGAUUGCCUCAGUAACGGCGAGUGAAGCGGCAACAGCUCAAAUUUGAAAUCUGGCCCUCGGGUCCGAGUUGUAAUUUGUAGAGGAUGCUUUUGGCGCGGUGCCUUCUGAGUUCCCUGGAAUGGGACGCCAGAGAGGGUGAGAGCCCCGUAUAGUCGGACACCAAGCCUCUGUAAAGCUCCUUCGACGAGUCGAGUAGUUUGGGAAUGCUGCUCAAAAUGGGAGGUAAAUUUCUUCUAAAGCUAAAUACCGGCCAGAGACCGAUAGCGCACAAGUAGAGUGAUCGAAAGAUGAAAAGCACUUUGAAAAGAGGGUUAAACAGUACGUGAAAUUGUUGAAAGGGAAGCGCUCAUGACCAGACUUGCGCCCGGCGGAUCAUCCAGCGUUCUCGCUGGUGCACUCCGCCGGGCUCAGGCCAGCAUCGGUUCCGGUGGGGGGAUAAAAGUCGUGGGAAUGUGACUCCUCCGGGAGUGUUAUAGCCCGCUUCAUAAUGCCCUCGCCGAGACCGAGGUACGCGCUCCGCAAGGAUGCUGGCGUAAUGGUUAUCAGCGACCCG
rnacentral:rRNA from 1 species